rnacentral:misc_RNA from 1 species
AUCCUAAGUAGCCAAACCCUACUAUUCUACCAUUAUAAAUGCAGGACCAAAAUACCAACUGGAAGCCAAGAAUGGAAAACUCUUCCACAGAAGCCAAGCAGAACAGAGUAAACCAUCCAAAGCCAAGAAAGAGCACCCCCAUGUCUUAACACUUCCAGAGAGAAAACGCAGAACUCACAGCCAAGGACUUGGAGAAGAAGAGAGGCAGGGCCAUGGCAUGUUCAGUAUCGAUAUAGCCAUGGGAAGCGCCAACCACACUUUAAAGUCGUCUCUAUAGAUUCUAGAGACUCCUCCAAGAUUUCCAGCUCCAAAG